rnacentral:tRNA from 1 species
GGGAAUGUGAGUUUAGAGGUAGAAUGCUUGCCUAGCAUGCAUGAAGGCCCUGGGUUCAAUCCCCAGUAUUCUAA